rnacentral:rRNA from 1 species
CCAGACUCCUACGGGAGGCAGCAGUGGGGAAUAUUGGGCAAUGGGGGAAACCCUGACCCAGCAACGCCGCGUGAAGGAAGAAGGCUUUCGGGUUGUAAACCUCUUUUACCAGGGACGAAGAAAGUGACGGUACCCGGAGAAAAAGCAUCGGCUAACUCCGUGCCAGCAGCCGCGGUAAUACGGAGGAUGCGAGCGUUAUCCGGAUUUAUUGGGUUUAAAGGGUGCGUAGGCGGGCUUUUAAGUCAGCGGUAAAAAUUCGGGGCUCAACCCCGUCCGGCCGUUGAAACUGGGGGCCUUGAGUGGGCGAGAAGAAGGCGGAAUGCGUGGUGUAGCGGUGAAAUGCAUAGAUAUCACGCAGAACCCCGAUUGCGAAGGCAGCCUUCCGGCGCCCUACUGACGCUGAGGCACGAAAGUGCGGGGAUCGAACAGGAUUAGAUACCCCAGUA